rnacentral:lncRNA from 1 species
UUCACCCGAUCGAUUUGAUUCGCCUCUUCGCGCCCACCAUGCCCUGGAGAGAUGCCCUGGGAAUCUCUAAGACCCGGGGGUGAAGUUGGUGGCAUAUGCCCAGGCAUUGUUAGCCACUGGAUCUGCCAGGUGGUCGGACAAGUUCUCGAGGGGGCCCUUACCGGUGACGAUGGCCUGGACAAAGAAGCCAAACAUGGAGAACAUCGCCAGCCGUCCAUUCUUGAGCUCCUUCACCUUGAGCUCCGCAAACGCCUCGGGAUCCUCGGCCAAUCCAAGGGGGUCGAAGCUGCCACCUGGGUAGAUCGGGUCCGUCACCUCGCCCAACGGCCCUCCGGCGAUGCGGUAGCCCUCCACGGCGCCCAUGAGGAUGACCUGGGACGCCCAGAUGGCGAGGAUGGACUGGGCGUGGACGAGGCUAGGGUUGCCCAGGUAGUCGAGGCCGCCCUCCUUGAAGAUCUGGGAGCCGGCCUUGAACCACACCGCCUCGCCGAAUUUGAUGCCGUUCUUGGAGAGGAGCU